AGAGUUUGAUCCUGGCUCAGAACGAACGCUGGCGGCAGGCUUAACACAUGCAAGUCGAACGGUUGUAGCAAUACAGCAGUGGCGCACGGGUGAGUAACGCGUGGGAAGGUACCCUUCAGUCGGGAAUAACAGUGGGAAACUGCUGCUAAUACCCGAUAUUAUCUCCGGAUGAAAGAUUUAUCGCUGAAGGAUCAGCCCGCGUAAGAUCAGGUAGUUGGUGGGGUAAUAGCCUACCAAGCCUACGAUCUUUAGCUGGUCUGAGAGGACGACCAGCCACACUGGAACUGAGACACGGUCCAGACUCCUACGGGAGGCAGCAGUGGGGAAUAUUGGACAAUGGGCGAAAGCCUGAUCCAGCCAUGCCGCGUGAAUGAUGAAGGCCUUAGGGUUGUAAAGUUCUUUUGUCAGGGAAGAUAAUGACGGUACCUGAAGAAUAAGCACCGGCUAACUUCGUGCCAGCAGCCGCGGUAAUACGAAGGGUGCUAGCGUUGUUCGGAAUUACUGGGCGUAAAGCGCGCGUAGGCGGCUAUUCAAGUCAGAGGUGAAAUCCCGGGGCUCAACCCCGGAACUGCCUUUGAAACUGUAUAGCUGGAGUGUGUGAGGGGAUGGCGGAAUUCCUAAUGUAGAGGUGAAAUUCGUAGAUAUUAGGAGGAACACCGGUGGCGAAGGCGGCCAUCUGGCACACAACUGACGCUGAGGCGCGAAAGCGUGGGGAUCAAACAGGAUUAGAUACCCUGGUAGUCCACGCUGUAAACGAUGAGUGCUAGCCGUUAGAUCCGUAGGAUUUAGUGGCGUCGCUAACGCUUUAAGCACUCCGCCUGGGGAGUACGGUCGCAAGAUUAAAACUCAAAGGAAUUGACGGGGACCCGCACAAGCGGUGGAGCAUGUGGUUUAAUUCGAGGCAACGCGAAGAACCUUACCAGGCCUUGACAUGGGUAGUAUGAAUAGCAGAAACGUUAUUCUUCAGUUUGGCUGGCUACCACACAGGUGCUGCAUGGCUGUCGUCAGCUCGUGUCGUGAGAUGUUGGGUUAAGUCCCGCAACGAGCGCAACCCUCAUCCUUAGUUGCCAACACGUAAUGGUGGGAACUCUAAGGAAACUGCCGGUGAUAAGCCGGAGGAAGGUGGGGAUGACGUCAAGUCUUCAUGGCCCUUACGGCCUGGGCUACACACGUGCUACAAUGGCGGUGACAAUACGUAUGCCAACCUGCAAGGGUGCGCUAAUCGUAAAAAGCCGUCUCAGUUCGGAUUGCACUCUGCAACUCGAGUGCAUGAAGCUGGAAUCGCUAGUAAUCGCGGAUCAGCAUGCUGCGGUGAAUACGUUCCCGGGUCUUGUACACACCGCCCGUCACACCAUGGAAGUUGGUUCUACCUUAAGCCGUUGUGCUAACCGCAAGGAGGCAGACGACCACGGUAGGGUCAAUGACUGGGGUGAAGUCGGAACAAGGUA
rnacentral:rRNA from 1 species